rnacentral:misc_RNA from 1 species
ACACUUGGAGAGGAGCGGAAACUGCAUGGUUGGAAAAUGCAGAUCAGAAUAACAGUGAUAAAUAUGCACUCUCAAGUGAUUGUGCUAUGCAUAAAGAGAACCAAGAAACUAAUCAAGUCGCUGGGAUGUAAAACCCGAGAUAACAACAAUCAAAUGACAUAUAUGACAAAAAAGUUAAUCAAGUGUCAACAAGAAUCGGAUUCAUGGAGACAACUCUGGCAAGAAAGUGUAAAUAAAAAAAAUGAUCUCCGACAGCACAUGUAUUUUGUACUAUAUAGUCUCACAAAGCAGCACUGUCAUGUGAAUGAAAACUACAUCUCACUUACCUUGUGAAGGUAAAACUUUGUAGU